AGAGUUUGAUCCUGGCUCAGGACGAACGCUGGCGGCGUGCUUAACACAUGCAAGUCGAACGGUGAAGUCCCUUCGGGGGCGGAUCAGUGGCGAACGGGUGAGUAACACGUGGGCAAUCUGCCCCUCACUGUGGGAUAACUCCGGGAAACCGGGGCUAAUACCGCAUAUGAAGCCUGGCGGCAUCGCCGGGUUUGGAAAGUUUUUCGGUGAGGGAUGAGCCCGCGGCCUAUCAGCUUGUUGGUGAGGUAAUGGCUCACCAAGGCGACGACGGGUAGCCGGCCUGAGAGGGCGACCGGCCACACUGGGACUGAGACACGGCCCAGACUCCUACGGGAGGCAGCAGUGGGGAAUAUUGGGCAAUGGGCGAAAGCCUGACCCAGCGACGCCGCGU
rnacentral:rRNA from 1 species